rnacentral:rRNA from 1 species
UACGUAGGGAGCAAGCGUUGUCCGGAUUUACUGGGCGUAAAGGGCGCGUAGGCGGCAAUUCAAGUCAUCUGUGAAAUCUCCGGGCUUAACUCGGAACGGUCAGAUGAUACUGUUUUGCUAGAGUGCAGAAGGGGCAAUCGGAAUUCUUGGUGUAGCGGUGAAAUGCGUAGAUAUCAAGAGGAACACCUGAGGUGAAGACGGGUUGCUGGGCUGACACUGACGCUGAGGCGCGAAAGCCAGGGGAGCAAACGGG